GUUUCUGUUCAUGAAGGGUAAAAAAUGAACGCAAUCAACCGCCUCCUAAGCGGUAGGUCGCAGGUUCAACUCCCGCCGGGGACA
rnacentral:tRNA from 1 species